CCCAGCCGCCGCCGCCGCCCCCGCCCGGCGUAGUGCGGCCGCGUAGUGCGACUGGGGAGGUCUGGUCGGUCCAGCAGCCGCUCCCGCAGCCGCCCCGGGGGUGGAAUCUGCGCCUGCGCCCGUCAGCUCCGUCCCGCGGCGGCCGUCGCCCUGGAGAUACGCAGGGCAUCCUGGGAACGUUGCCUUUCCUGCGCGUGAACUGGGCUCCCACAGCGCCGCCUGCGGGUGGGAGGAGCAGAUUGCUCCGGCGGCCUCGGGCAGCUCUGUGCUUGUUUUAACAGCAUCCGGAUCUCCUCUGCUCCCUGGACUGGGAGAACUGGAAUUGCACCAGAUUCUCCACAGCUAUGACCUUUCCUCCUUUGAGGGCUACACAAGAUUUUGGGGAUCUGCUGUGCAAAUUUCUGUUCAAAUUUCUACACCAGUCAGAAAUUUCCAGAUUCCCUUGAGAUACUCAGCUCGGCUUACUGAGUUUGCUCUAUGUAAGACAUCCUACCAGAUGCUACUGGAGAUAAUUUACUCCCAACGGAUCAAUUUUUCAAGGAUUCAGGGGGAACUAUGCACAACCACUGUGGAAGCUGCCGUGAGACCUCAGCAUUCACAUGGACAGACAGACUGGGAUUCAGAGAGCUCGUUUUAUUGCUAUCAGUUUCAAAAUAAAUUAAUCAAAACCAAAUCCAAC